UAAGGGGUGCCUGGUCUUUUGGCCUCGCUGAGAAUAUACCCAUGAACCUGAUCCGGGUAAUGCCGGCGUAGGUAGGAUAAUAA
rnacentral:ncRNA from 1 species